GGGUAAGUAGUUUAAAAUAAAACGUAAGUUUUCGGGUCUUAAGAUCAUAUUUUUUUUUGCUGC
rnacentral:tRNA from 1 species